GGGUUGUGAGGUUAAGCGACUAAGCGUACACGGUGGAUGCCCUGGCAGUCAGAGGCGAUGAAGGACGUGCUAAUCUGCGAUAAGCGUCGGUAAGGUGAUAUGAACCGUUAUAACCGGCGAUUUCCGAAUGGGGAAACCCAGUGUGAUUCGUCACACUAUCAUUAACUGAAUCCAUAGGUUAAUGAGGCGAACCGGGGGAACUGAAACAUCUAAGUACCCCGAGGAAAAGAAAUCAACCGAGAUUCCCCCAGUAGCGGCGAGCGAACGGGGAGCAGCCCAGAGCCUGAAUCAGUGUGUGUGUUAGUGGAAGCGUCUGGAAAGGCGCGCGAUACAGGGUGACAGCCCCGUACACAAAAAUGCACAUGCUGUGAGCUCGAUGAGUAGGGCGGGACACGUGGUAUCCUGUCUGAAUAUGGGGGGACCAUCCUCCAAGGCUAAAUACUCCUGACUGACCGAUAGUGAACCAGUACCGUGAGGGAAAGGCGAAAAGAACCCCGGCGAGGGGAGUGAAAAAGAACCUGAAACCGUGUACGUACAAGCAGUGGGAGCACGCUUAGGCGUGUGACUGCGUACCUUUUGUAUAAUGGGUCAGCGACUUAUAUUCUGUAGCAAGGUUAACCGAAUAGGGGAGCCGAAGGGAAACCGAGUCUUAACUGGGCGUUAAGUUGCAGGGUAUAGACCCGAAACCCGGUGAUCUAGCCAUGGGCAGGUUGAAGGUUGGGUAACACUAACUGGAGGACCGAACCGACUAAUGUUGAAAAAUUAGCGGAUGACUUGUGGCUGGGGGUGAAAGGCCAAUCAAACCGGGAGAUAGCUGGUUCUCCCCGAAAGCUAUUUAGGUAGCGCCUCGUGAAUUCAUCUCCGGGGGUAGAGCACUGUUUCGGCAAGGGGGUCAUCCCGACUUACCAACCCGAUGCAAACUGCGAAUACCGGAGAAUGUUAUCACGGGAGACACACGGCGGGUGCUAACGUCCGUCGUGAAGAGGGAAACAACCCAGACCGCCAGCUAAGGUCCCAAAGUCAUGGUUAAGUGGGAAACGAUGUGGGAAGGCCCAGACAGCCAGGAUGUUGGCUUAGAAGCAGCCAUCAUUUAAAGAAAGCGUAAUAGCUCACUGGUCGAGUCGGCCUGCGCGGAAGAUGUAACGGGGCUAAACCAUGCACCGAAGCUGCGGCAGCGACGCUUAUGCGUUGUUGGGUAGGGGAGCGUUCUGUAAGCCUGCGAAGGUGUGCUGUGAGGCAUGCUGGAGGUAUCAGAAGUGCGAAUGCUGACAUAAGUAACGAUAAAGCGGGUGAAAAGCCCGCUCGCCGGAAGACCAAGGGUUCCUGUCCAACGUUAAUCGGGGCAGGGUGAGUCGACCCCUAAGGCGAGGCCGAAAGGCGUAGUCGAUGGGAAACAGGUUAAUAUUCCUGUACUUGGUGUUACUGCGAAGGGGGGACGGAGAAGGCUAUGUUGGCCGGGCGACGGUUGUCCCGGUUUAAGCGUGUAGGCUGGUUUUCCAGGCAAAUCCGGAAAAUCAAGGCUGAGGCGUGAUGACGAGGCACUACGGUGCUGAAGCAACAAAUGCCCUGCUUCCAGGAAAAGCCUCUAAGCAUCAGGUAACAUCAAAUCGUACCCCAAACCGACACAGGUGGUCAGGUAGAGAAUACCAAGGCGCUUGAGAGAACUCGGGUGAAGGAACUAGGCAAAAUGGUGCCGUAACUUCGGGAGAAGGCACGCUGAUAUGUAGGUGAAGUCCCUCGCGGAUGGAGCUGAAAUCAGUCGAAGAUACCAGCUGGCUGCAACUGUUUAUUAAAAACACAGCACUGUGCAAACACGAAAGUGGACGUAUACGGUGUGACGCCUGCCCGGUGCCGGAAGGUUAAUUGAUGGGGUUAGCGCAAGCGAAGCUCUUGAUCGAAGCCCCGGUAAACGGCGGCCGUAACUAUAACGGUCCUAAGGUAGCGAAAUUCCUUGUCGGGUAAGUUCCGACCUGCACGAAUGGCGUAAUGAUGGCCAGGCUGUCUCCACCCGAGACUCAGUGAAAUUGAACUCGCUGUGAAGAUGCAGUGUACCCGCGGCAAGACGGAAAGACCCCGUGAACCUUUACUAUAGCUUGACACUGAACAUUGAGCCUUGAUGUGUAGGAUAGGUGGGAGGCUUUGAAGUGUGGACGCCAGUCUGCAUGGAGCCGACCUUGAAAUACCACCCUUUAAUGUUUGAUGUUCUAACGUUGACCCGUAAUCCGGGUUGCGGACAGUGUCUGGUGGGUAGUUUGACUGGGGCGGUCUCCUCCUAAAGAGUAACGGAGGAGCACGAAGGUUGGCUAAUCCUGGUCGGACAUCAGGAGGUUAGUGCAAUGGCAUAAGCCAGCUUGACUGCGAGCGUGACGGCGCGAGCAGGUGCGAAAGCAGGUCAUAGUGAUCCGGUGGUUCUGAAUGGAAGGGCCAUCGCUCAACGGAUAAAAGGUACUCCGGGGAUAACAGGCUGAUACCGCCCAAGAGUUCAUAUCGACGGCGGUGUUUGGCACCUCGAUGUCGGCUCAUCACAUCCUGGGGCUGAAGUAGGUCCCAAGGGUAUGGCUGUUCGCCAUUUAAAGUGGUACGCGAGCUGGGUUUAGAACGUCGUGAGACAGUUCGGUCCCUAUCUGCCGUGGGCGCUGGAGAACUGAGGGGGGCUGCUCCUAGUACGAGAGGACCGGAGUGGACGCAUCACUGGUGUUCGGGUUGUCAUGCCAAUGGCACUGCCCGGUAGCUAAAUGCGGAAGAGAUAAGUGCUGAAAGCAUCUAAGCACGAAACUUGCCCCGAGAUGAGUUCUCCCUGACCCUUUAAGGGUCCUGAAGGAACGUUGAAGACGACGACGUUGAUAGGCCGGGUGUGUAAGCGCAGCGAUGCGUUGAGCUAACCGGUACUAAUGAACCGUGAGGCUUAACCUUACAACGCCGAAGGUGUUU
rnacentral:rRNA from 1 species